AACGAACGCUGGCGGCAGGCUUAACACAUGCAAGUCGAACGAGCUGGGGGCUUCGGUCCCCGAUGCUAGUGGCGCACGGGUGAGUAAAACGUGGGAAUAUGCCCUUUAGUACGGAAUAAUAACGGGAAACAUUUGCUAAUACCGUAUACGCGCUGCGGCGGCUAGAUUUAUCGCUAUAGAAUUAGCCCGCGUCUGAUUAUGUAGUUGGUGAGGUAAUGGCUCACCAAGCCGACGAUCAGUAGCUGGGCUGUGAGGAGGAUCAGCCACGCCGGGACUGAGACACAGACCCGACUGCGACGGGAGGGAGGAGUAGAGAAUAUUGGACGCGGAGGGCAACCCUGACCCAGCCAUGCCGCGGAAGUGAAGAAGGCCUUCGUGUUGUAAAGCUCCUUCGACGGAGACGUGGAUGACGGUACCCGUAUAAGAAGCCCCGGCAAACUUCGUG
rnacentral:rRNA from 1 species